rnacentral:rRNA from 1 species
AGAGUUUGAUCCUGGCUCAGAUUGAACGCUGGCGGCAUGCCUUACACAUGCAAGUCGAACGGUAACAGGGAGCUUGCUCCGCUGACGAGUGGCGAACGGGUGAGUAAUAUAUCGGAACGUACCAUUCAGUGGGGGAUAACGUAGCGAAAGUUACGCUAAUACCGCAUAUUCUCUCCGGAGGAAAGCAGGGGCUCGCAAGACCUUGCGCUGAUUGAGCGGCCGAUAUCAGAUUAGCUAGUUGGUGAGGUAACGGCCCACCAAGGCGACGAUCUGUAGCGGGUCUGAGAGGAUGAUCCGCCACACUGGAACUGAGACACGGUCCAGACUCCUACGGGAGGCAGCAGUGGGGAAUUUUGGACAAUGGGCGCAAGCCUGAUCCAGCCAUGCCGCGUGAGUGAAGAAGGCCUUCGGGUUGUAAAGCUCUUUCAGCCGGGAAGAAAACGCAUGGGUUAAUACCCUGUGCGGAUGACGGUACCGGAAUAAGAAGCACCGGCUAACUACGUGCCAGCAGCCGCGGUAAUACGUAGGGUGCGAGCGUUAAUCGGAAUUACUGGGCGUAAAGCGUGCGCAGGCGGUUUGGUAAGACAGGCGUGAAAUCCCCGGGCUUAACCUGGGAACUGCGUUUGUGACUGCCAGGCUAGAGUACGGCAGAGGGGGGUGGAAUUCCACGUGUAGCAGUGAAAUGCGUAGAGAUGUGGAGGAACACCAAUGGCGAAGGCAGCCCCCUGGGUCGAUACUGACGCUCAUGCACGAAAGCGUGGGUAGCAAACAGGAUUAGAUACCCUGGUAGUCCACGCCCUAAACGAUGUCAACUAGGUGUUGGGAGGGUAAAACCCUUUUAGUACCGUAGCUAACGCGAGAAGUUGACCGCCUGGGGAGUACGGCCGCAAGGUUAAAACUCAAAGGAAUUGACGGGGACCCGCACAAGCGGUGGAUGAUGUGGAUUAAUUCGAUGCAACGCGAAAAACCUUACCUGGGCUUGACAUCCCGAUCGCACUCUCUGGAAACAGAGGGGUCAGUUCGGCUGGAUCGGUGACAGGUGCUGCAUGGCUGUCGUCAGCUCGUGUCGUGAGAUGUUGGGUUAAGUCCCGCAACGAGCGCAACCCUCGUCCUUAGUUGCCAGCAUUCAGUUGGGCACUCUAAGGAGACUGCCGGUGUUAAACCGGAGGAAGGCGGGGAUGACGUCAAGUCCUCAUGGCCCUUAUGUCCAGGGCUACACACGUGCUACAAUGGCCGGUACAAAGGGUAGCAAGACCGCGAGGUGGAGCCAAUCCCAAAAAGCCGGUCUCAGUUCGGAUUGGAGUCUGCAACUCGACUCCAUGAAGUUGGAAUCGCUAGUAAUCGCGGAUCAGCAUGCCGCGGUGAAUACGUUCCCGGGCCUUGUACACACCGCCCGUCACACCACGGGAGUCGGUUGGUCCCGAAGUGCGUGAGCUAACCCGUAAGGGAGGCAGCGUCCUAAGGAAUGGCCGGUGACUGGGGUGAAGUCGUAACAAGGUAACC